rnacentral:sRNA from 1 species
UACAGAAGGGCCUGAAUCACAUAGUGGGC